AGUGAACGCUGGCGGUAGGCCUAACACAUGCAAGUCGAACGGCAGCACAGUAAGAGCUUGCUCUUACGGGUGGCGAGUGGCGGACGGGUGAGGAAUACAUCGGAAUCUACUUUUUCGUGGGGGAUAACGUAGGGAAACUUACGCUAAUACCGCAUACGACCUACGGGUGAAAGCAGGGGAUCUUCGGACCUUGCGCGAUUGAAUGAGCCGAUGUCGGAUUAGCUAGUUGGCGGGGUAAAGGCCCACCAAGGCGACGAUCCGUAGCUGGUCUGAGAGGAUGAUCAGCCACACUGGAACUGAGACGCGGUCCAGACUCCUACGGGAGGCAGCAGUGGGGAAUAUUGGACAAUGGGCGCAAGCCUGAUCCAGCCAUACCGCGUGGGUGAAGAAGGCCUUCGGGUUGUAAAGCCCUUUUGUUGGGAAAGAAAAGCAGCAGGCUAAUACCCCGCUGUUCUGACGGUACCCAAAGAAUAAGCACCGGCUAACUUCGUG
rnacentral:rRNA from 1 species